rnacentral:lncRNA from 10 species
AUCUUGGGGGUGGUUACCCCUAUGCUGCUGUUCUCCUGAUAGUGAGUGAGUUCUCACAAGAUCUGAUGGUUUUAUAAGGGGCUUUCCCCCUUUUGCUCAUUCUUCUCCUUGCUGCUGCCAUGUGAAGAAGAAUGUGUUUGCUUCCUCUUCCACCAUGAUUGAAAGUUUCCUGAGACCUCCCCAGCCUUGUGGAACUAUGGAGUCUCUCUGCGCCGAGUUUGGAGUUCAGUGGCAUGAUCUCGGCUCACUGCAACCUCCGCUUCCUGGGUUCAAGCAAUUCUCCUGCCUCAGCCUCCCGAGUAGGUGAGAUUACAGGUGCUCGCCACCAGGCCCAGCUAAUUUUUGAAUUUUUAGUAGAGACAAGGUUUCGCCCUGUUGGCCAAGCUGGUCUCAAACUCCUUACCUCAAGUGAUCCACCUGCCUCCGCCUCCCAAAGUUCUGGGAUUACAGGCGUGAGCCACCGCUCCCGGCCUCUCUACCUUCUUUGUCCCACAGGAAAAAGGAAUAUGCUUCUUUGGGAAGGACAUGAACUAGGGCGACAGCAAAAGGAAAGCGAAUGUGGGGCUGUUUUGGAGUCCCAUACACUCUCAGCGGCAGAGCAAUAUUAAAACUUCCUAGAAGACAUCUGAGCAGCAAUUCUAAUAAUCAUGUAUUAUGUAUCUGCAAUAAAUAAACCAUGAACCAACUAGCAAA